AAUGUUUGUGGUUGUAUAUUUUCAGCUGACUCUGUUCUAUUUUAGUUAGGUUUUAAAAUACAUUUAUACCACUCCUUCAUGUGUCCGCAUUCAAUUGAAAUGGAAUAAAAACCGGCUCCAUUUUGCUAUUGUAGAAGAGUCUUGUUUUCGGCUUUCAUAGUAUAUGUUAUAGUUACUGGUACAACGUGGUUCUAAGAAAAGGAAACAAUGUUCAGAGUGGAAAUUUUCCUUAUUGGUAUUGCAGUUUUCUAUGUACUCGGUAAACAGGAGGGAACGUCCUGUAGUGCAGAUAAUAAGGACACUUGUGAUCCUUGCGGAAUAACUGGAAAAUGGGUGAAUGAGCUUGGAUCGGAGGUCGAAAUUACUUGCAAACUAGAUUUGCCGGAUCGGAAUUCAACAGGAGAAAUCAGCGGAAAGUAUAACAGUGCAGUAGGUGCUGCUAAAGAUUAUUAUCCUCUAUCUGGAAGAUUUACAAUUCCUGAUCAGGAUCCAAAGAAUUGUAUCGUAGGAUUUGUGGUAGCAUGGAACAAUGAAGCAUAUGGUAACUCGAAUUCUACAAGUAGCUUUACGGGAAUGUAUUAUAAAGAUACCGAUAAAAUAUAUACCUUCUGGAUACUGACUAGUUACAAGAAAUAUACAGAUAUGUGGGAGAACAGCAACAUUGGAAAGAAUGUCUUUACCAGAAUUCCUAUUAAAUAAACGAAUAAUGCUACGUAAUAUUUUCCAUCUAAACAAGAAAAUUGUUUGAAUAAUUCCAUUCUUUUUUUCAAAUAUUAAAACAGAUUAACUGUUA